GAGAUUGAUUUUCUUCUUUUAGAACUUUAUUUUUAUUGAUUAGUUUUUUGUGUUCUUCCAUGAGUUCUAAAAAUGCAUCAUGUAAUUCAUCAACAGUAAAAUCACAUUCAAGUUCAGAAUCUACCUCAUCAUCAUUGGCCAUAUGGCAUAUUUGGGCCGUCUCUUGAUGAUCUUCCUCUUCCGAACUUGACUCCUCACUUUCACUCCAUUCAGCUAUGAAGUUCUUCUUUUUAAGUUUUCUUGCCAUCCAUUUUAAUUCCGGGCAAUCUAUCUUAUAAUGCCCGGGCUUGUUACACUCAUAACAAAUUGGUGUUUCUUUUUCCUUUUCUUUGUCCUU
rnacentral:lncRNA from 1 species